rnacentral:misc_RNA from 1 species
GGGUUGCAUUGAAUGCACCGAUUCGGGCCGGAACCGAAACGAACUACCGAUUCGCGCCAGAAACGAAACGAACGCACCCAAUCCACUUUUUUGGACCCAAUAGUGAUGUUUUGGUUCGUUUUGGUCAGUUUCGUUACUGUGCAAAAAACCAUGCAAAUGUUGCAUUUAAUGCACCCAUUCGGGUCGUUAACGAAACGACGCACAAUUUCGAUCCAGAAACGAAACGAACAGUCCCAAUCCACAUUUUUGGA